CAAAAGGAUCAUGGGAUAUGUAGUUCAGCGGCAAACGUAUAGGAACUCCAGAGAUGUCAACUAAAUGACCAAUAGAGUAUAUAAAACGGUCGUUGGAACUCUGCCUGUCCUCCGGUCCUGAGAGCCUGUGUCAGCUACAUUGGGGGUUCCUGUCCGUUUGCCAGUAUUUGUACCGGUUCCGUGAGUAGCGGCUUUGCCACGUCCGUCGGCCAAGGCCGCUGUAUUCUUUAAAAAUAAGAAAAACCACGCUGUUACCGGGAUUUUUUUUGUGUCUGAGCAGCCACACGGUCCGUGCACUCUCAGCCACACAGAGCGCACAGAAGAAGACAUCCUCCGUCCGUCCUCACAAGCCGGGGUCCCGAGCGUCCGCAGCCGCACAGCUCGGCACACGGGAGACGCGGCUAAAACGAACAGCUGUUUGCGGAGAAUUAACAGCUAGCCGCCAGGAGUGAAGAUCCGCCCCACCACUACCAAGUACAAGAUUUACCAGAUUUAUUGGGCAUCCCAGAAGAAUCAUCUUCUCUUAAAAUAGAGAGAGCUCAUAGGUUGGGCCCACCACGCGAUUCCAACCAAUCUAGACCCCGCCCAGUUAUCUUUAAGUGUCUGAACUUUCGACAUAAGGAACUGAUUUGGUCUGCCGCCAGGAGUAAGGGACCUCUUCACUGGGAUGGCCAAAGACUGUUCCUAUUUCAGGAUUAUUCCGCAGAGGUUUCAAAGGCCAGAAUGGAAAUGUCAUCAGUUUGCUCCCAACUACUGAAGAAUGGCACUAGAUUUGCUCUUCUUUAUCCUGUGCGGCUGCGCAUCUUCACUCCACAAGAUCCGAAGGAUUUCACGUCAGUGGACUGUGCUAAAGACUUUGUGUCCGAAACUAUGGAAUCUUCGAGAACGAUGUCGGCUUCUUCUUCAGUCUCUGUGGAUCAUAAUGAUUGAACUUAGGUCAUAUGGUUUUGUUACUCUUUCUUAAGCCCAGUAC